rnacentral:RNase_P_RNA from 2 species
ACAGGUCACCAGACGGCCGCGGUCCUGUGCCGCUCUAGGGCAGGGCUGAGGAACGUCCGGACUCCGCAGAGCAGGAUGGUGGGUAACGCCCACCCGGGGCAACCCGCGGGCAAGUGCAACAGAAAGCAGACCGCCUGCCGCCUCCGAUCCUCGGAUCGGGGCGGUCGGUAAGGGUGAAACGGUGGUGUAAGAGACCACCAGAGUGCCGGGUGACCGGUGCUGCUGGGUAAACCCCAUCCGGAGCAAGAUCAGACAGACGACGUUCGAGGCUGCUCGCCGAGUCGUCGGGUGGAUCGCUCGAGGCCGGUGGCGACAUCGGUCCCAGAUAGAUGGCCGUCAGUCGAGGAGGGUGACCGACUCGACCACAGAAUCCGGCGUAUCGGUGGCCUGUCCUC